rnacentral:rRNA from 1 species
CGCACGGGUGAGUAACACGUAUGCAACCUGCCCUCUUCAGGGGGACAACCUUCCGAAAGGGAGGCUAAUCCCGCGUAUAUCGGUUUCGGGCAUCCGAGAUCGAGGAAAGAUUCAUCGGAAGAGGAUGGGCAUGCGGCGCAUUAGCUAGACGGCGGGGUAACGGCCCACCGUGGCGACGAUGCGUAGGGGUUCUGAGAGGAAGGUCCCCCACACUGGUACUGAGACACGGACCAGACUCCUACGGAAGGCAGCAG